GCGUAGUAUUAUUUAAUUCUUCAUUAAACUGCAUUGAGAAAGGAAAUCAAAUGCAGCAUUCAAAAACACUGGUUUGCAAAGCAGUCACGCCUAAGAGCAUACAAAAUGCACUUUUAUUCAAUGGGAAAUAGAGAAACGUCAACAGGCAGCUUGGCUGAUGGUAGGCUACAAGUAUUGGUGGAGGGUUAGUUCAGCAAUUGUAGCCUAUUAUUGACGUUAAAAUAUUGGCGGCUGUCGUGGAUGUCCACUUUUACAUUAGCCAAGCUGUAGCAAAGGGGAAGGGCCUUAGAUAUCAGGAGAGUUUGGCUUACAUCAAACUUUUUGAAGAAAAU